UGGGGAAUUUUGGACAAUGGGCGAAAGCCUGAUCCAGCAAUGCCGCGUGUGUGAAGAAGGCCUUCGGGUUGUAAAGCACUUUUGUCCGGAAAGAAAUCCUCUGGGUUAAUACCUCGGGGGGAUGACGGUACCGGAAGAAUAAGCACCGGCUAACUACGUGCCAGCAGCCGCGGUAAUACGUAGGGUGCAAGCGUUAAUCGGAAUUACUGGGCGUAAAGCGUGCGCAGGCGGUUUUGUAAGACGGAUGUGAAAUCCCCGGGCUUAACCUGGGAACUGCAUUCGUGACUGCAAGGCUAGAGUAUGGCAGAGGGGGGUAGAAUUCCACGUGUAGCAGUGAAAUGCGUAGAGAUGUGGAGGAAUACCGAUGGCGAAGGCAGCCCCCUGGGCCAAAUACUGACGCUCAUGCACGAAAAGCGUGGGGAGCAAACAGGAUUAGAUACCCCUGGUAGUCCACGCCCUAAAACGAUGUCAACUAGUUGUUGGGGAUUCAUUUCCUUAGUAACGUAGCUAACGCGUGAAGUUGACCGCCUGGGGAGUACGGUCGCAAGAUUAAAACUUAAAGGAAUUGACGGGGUCAUAGCUGUUUCCU
rnacentral:rRNA from 1 species